GACAAUGUGGCAUAGUGGUAUGAGGGUUUGACUACGACUCUGGAGACCAGGGUUCAAAUCACUGCUUAGCCA